GCACGGGGGGACACGUGUCCCCCCUAAUUAAAAAAAAAUAAAAAAUUACCGCCGUGAUUUCGGAAAAAAAAUAUAAGUGUCCCCCUAAAAAAUUUGAAAAUUUAGGGGUGUCCCCGCGAAUUUUAAAAGUUCAAGUAAGUUGCAGUGGUUUAAUAAAAUUAUAAGGAACUAAAAGGUAAUUUGUACACAUAUAUUUAUAUUAAAAAUAUGAAUAGAUAUAAUUUAAAAACAAAAAAGUAGUUAAUUCAUAUGUUUUAGUCUCUGCAGUCUGUUCUCUCGAGCAGAGCUUGUGCCUGGCUAGUGUAAGUACUCACCUUUUUAUUAAUCCAAAUUACCCACCGAUCAAAUACAAACCGAAUACAAUCACUGAAUCAUCUAUCAGCUACUAGUUAAUUAGAUAUGUGCUUGAGGCUUCUGAUGUGGAGCGCUGCGUUUUCUGUCCUUACCUGUCCGAGCUCCGCCUAAUCCAUGGAUGUUUCUUCUUCAGUUCUUCUGCAGAGUAAUUCCGGAAUCUAAAGAUUAAACAAAGUCAUGGGUGAUGGCCUGAUGGGUACCAGCAGGCUAGCAGAGUAGCAGGCAGCAGCUGAAAAGGGGGAAUUCUCAAUUCUGUGAUUACAAAAUUAAGGGGCAAGAGUUGUUGGCAGACACUCAUUUUUGUCGCAAAAUACUAUACUUUUGGCUUGGCUGUGACUUGUGAGACUGUGGUUGCUGCCUUGCUGGUUCUUGACUAUAGCAUGCAGGUACAUUUAUCAAUCUGUUAUGACUUAUGAGUUAAGAAAAUAUUUUGGUGUCCCCUCUAAGAUUAGAUCCUAGAUCCGCCCCUGCAUG